UACGGAGGGUGCGAGCGUUAAUCGGAAUUACUGGGCGUAAAGGGCGCGUAGGUGGUUCGAUAAGUCAGAUGUGAAAUCCCUGGGCUUAACCUGGGAAUUGCAUUUGAUACUGCCGGACUAGAGUGUGGUAGAGGUAAGCGGAAUUCCCGGUGUAGCGGUGAAAUGCGUAGAUAUCGGGAGGAACAUCAGUGGCGAAGGCGGCUUACUGGACCAACACUGACACUGAGGCGCGAAAGCGUGGGUAGCAAACAGG
rnacentral:ncRNA from 2 species